GACGUAGGGCGCAAGCGUUGUCCGGAUUUAUUGGGCGUAAAGAGCUCGUAGGCGGCUUGUUGCGUCGUCCGUGAAAACCCGCAGCUCAACUGCGGGCUUGCGGACGAUACGGGCAGGCUAGAGUUCGGUAGGGGAGACUGGAAUUCCUGGUGUAGCGGUGAAAUGCGCAGAUAUCAGGAGGAACACCGGUGGCGAAGGCGGGUCUCUGGGCCGAUACUGACGCUGAGGAGCGAAAGCGUGGGGAGCGAACAGG
rnacentral:rRNA from 1 species